rnacentral:lncRNA from 1 species
CCAAAGCUCAAUUAUUACUUGGAACUUUUUGUCCUUGAUCAUAACCAUUUUAUUUUAUAAUAAUAGUAUAACUUAUACCUGAUUUAAAAAUGAAUUUAUUUUGUAGAGAUUCCUACAAAUAUAGUAAAGUAUAAAUAUAUCUCUAUAAAAUUCAACUUUCAUAUAUUGUUCGUAUAAAAGUUCUAAUAUUUUUAAUUAUAUUCCUCUGAUUUAUUAUCGUUAAAACACUAUUUAUUUUAUAAGUGAAAUGAUCUUUUUAUGUCCCUCUAAAAGUUCCAACUAUUAAUUAAAGAAGGAUAAAAAAGUCAAUUCACCUUAUUAAGUAAUAGUUUACUUAUAGUUAACUAAUUUUUCUAACGAUCCUAACGGCAGGGACAUAUUUGAAAACAUUAGGAUUUUUGCAGUAACAAUAUAGAAAAGUUGAAUUUUGUAGGAAUAUAUUUAUAAUUUAUUAUAUUUGUAGGGACCUAUAUGAAAUUAAUCCUAAAAAAAUCAUUUAUAACACACUGCAAUAACAAAAAUCUUUUAAAAAUAAAAAGU